rnacentral:lncRNA from 13 species
CUCGAGUCAGUUCAGUGACUCAUUUCAGAUAGCUGUUUCAGCAUCUAACUGGAUAAAUCCAGGUCAGUCAAGAUACGAUAUCUUGAGACCCUCCCACAGAUUUGGAUUUUUUAUUUCCACUGUGUGUGCAGGACAAAUUGAAGUUUUGAUAUUGCAGCAGUAGUUUUAUACAUGGGAUCUCAUUCAAGUCCAUUUAAAUAUCAAGGUAGUGCACUCUUUGGCUGCAGAAAGAGACCAGAGAUGGGUGAAGCUCAAGAAACUGAAAUCAGGAGGAUGUGAAGUUCACUCAUCACCUGGUGGCAUAAGGGAGGACAUAAGGGGAGCUGGGAGCAUUCAGAGCUCAGAACUGUUGCUCCCGUUUGCUCCAGGGAUGGAACAGAUGCUUCCUUACAGGGUAUCACCUUCCCGGUUCUGAAAAGAGUGGCCACUCUGACCUGGAGAGGCCACUCUGGAUGUGUGGGGGGAACUGGUCAUUACAGUAAGUUGAACUUUUUAAUUGAAAAAGCACAGCUGCUUUGUCCAUUUUAAUUCACUUUCAAACUCCAUGCUUAGCACUCAUGAGAGGCUUAUAUUACCAGUUUAAUAGCUUACACUACCAUCAGCUCAAACUACAAGUGUGACUCCAGUUAAAUGCUAGACCGUGGUCCACGUUUUUGCCUCCUCUUACACCAGAUACUCUGGUCAAGACAGUGAUUUAGUACCAGUUUUAGGGAAUGCCCCAGAGAAAGCUUUGACGUGACCAGCAUGUUCUCUUAAACUGAUUAUAUUGCUCAAUAUCACAGGCAUCGACCUUUGUCAUCUCAGUGUGCUUACCUUGAGUGGGAGAAACGUCAAGGCUGCAGGGGUGAAUGAGGUGGCUCUGAAUUCAUUACAGAGUAUUGCAAAAAGCAAAAUCAGCAAAAGUUGAUUUAAUAAAAUCAGCAAAAGUGGAUUUCAUAAAAACCGUAAAAAAAAAAAAAAAAAAUUAUUGUGGCAUGAAAGAAAGCAGCUAGUUGACUGGGGGUUAUGAGCCUACUGUCACAAGCUUUCUUUGCAAAAGGAUGGACAGGAAACCUCCAAACAAAUCCACAUCAAUGACGAUCUCCUUUUGAUUGCUUUGAAUCCUGUAAAUAAGGUCAGGACUCCUCAAACAAUAUUUGCUCCCACUUGGUCCUCCUGAUUAUUUACCAAUUUUUUGAUACUUCAUGUAGACAAAUAAUAACACCCUGGCCUCCAAAUCCAGAGAGUUCUGUUGAAAUGAACAAAAACGGAAAGAGUGACACGUUUCUCUCCCUCCAGCUACACUCACACAACAGUGGUUAACUUCUGAGUCAAAGCGUGGCUGCUGUUCAUGCUGCUCCACCCACCCACCACAGCAGCAUGAUGACAGCUGAAUGACGGAUUUGAAUAAGGACCCCAGUUCAAAUGUUUGUCACAAAUAUGUUCUUAAAACUCUUGA